rnacentral:rRNA from 1 species
CUACGGGCUGCUGCAGUAAGGAAUAUUGCGCAAUGGAGGCAACUCUGACGCAGCCAUGCCGCGUGCAGGAAGAAGGCCUUAUGGGUCGUAAACUGCUUUUAUUUAGGAAUAAACCCCCGAACGUGUUCGGGGCUGAAGGUACUAAACGAAUAAGCACCGGCUAACUCCGUGCCAGCAGCCGCGGUAAUACGGAGGGUGCAAGCGUUAUCCGGAUUUAUUGGGGUUAAAGGGUGCGCAGGCGGGCUAUUAAGUCAGUGGUGAAAUCCCGGGGCUCAACUCCGGAACUGCCAUUGAUACUGAUAGUCUUGAGUUUGGUUGAAGUGGGCGGAAUGUAGCAUGUAGCGGUGAAAUGCAUAGAUAUGCUACAGAACACCAAUCGCGAAGGCAGCUCACUAAGCCAAAACUGACGCUCAUGCACGAAAGCGUGGGGAUCAAACAGGAUUAGAUACCCCAGUAGUC